AAGCUUAUGUGCUUUUCAUGGAAGGAAGCAAAAGUUCACCUGCUAAAGGUGACAGCUCAGAGGCAGUGACUUUGCUACAAGAAGCUGGCAUUGAGUUUCAGCAUUUUGAUGUGGCCCAGAUUCGGUACUUCGACAGCAGCUCCUGAGCAUUUGGCA